rnacentral:rRNA from 1 species
GGGGAAUUUUCCGCAAUGGGCGAAAGCCUGACGGAGCAAUACCGCGUGAGGGAGGAAGGCUCUUGGGUUGUAAACCUCUUUUCUCAGGGAAUAAGAANCUGAAGGUACCUGAGGAAUCAGCAUCGGCUAACUCCGUGCCAGCAGCCGCGGUAAUANCGGAGGAUGCAAGCGUUAUCCGGAAUGAUUGGGCGUAAAGCGUCCGCAGGUGGUUUAUCAAGUCUGCUGUCAAAGAGUUUGGCUCAACCAAAUAAAGGCAGUGGAAACUGACAGACUGGAGUGCGGUAAGGGCAGAGGGAAUUCCUGGUGUAGCGGUGAAAUGCGUAGAGAUCAGGAAGAACACCGGUGGCGAAAGCGCUCUGCUGGGCCGCAACUGACACUGAGGGACGAAAGCUAGGGGAGCGAAUGGGAUUAGAUACCCCAGUAGUC